UACGUAGGGUGCGAGCGUUGUCCGGAAUUAUUGGGCGUAAAGGGCUCGUAGGCGGUUUGUCGCGUCGGGAGUGAAAACGCCGUGCUUAACACGGCGCUUGCUUCGAUACGGGCAGACUAGAGGUAUGCAGGGGAGAACGGAAUUCCUGGUGUAGCGGUGAAAUGCGCAGAUAUCAGGAGGAACACCGGUGGCGAAGGCGGUUCUCUGGGCAUUACCUGACGCUGAGGAGCGAAAGUGUGGGGAGCGAACAGG
rnacentral:rRNA from 1 species